GGGCCCGCACAAGCGGUGGAGUAUGUGGUUUAAUUCGAUGCAACGCGAAGAACCUUACCAGGGUUUGACAUCCUGCGAAUCUCUUGGAAACGAGAGAGUGCCUUCGGGAGCGCAGUGACAGGUGGUGCAUGGCUGUCGUCAGCUCGUGUCGUGAGAUGUUGGGUUAAGUCCCGCAACGAGCGCAACCCACGUCUUUAGUUGCCAGCGAUUCGGUCGGGAACUAUAAGGGGACUGCCGGUGAUAAACCGGAGGAAGGUGAGGACGACGUCAAGUCAUCAUGGCCCUUACGAGUAGGCUACACACGUGCUACAAUGGGGAAUACAGACGGACGCUAAGCCGCGAGGUGGUG
rnacentral:rRNA from 1 species